AAGUACACAGUGCAGCUGCAAUAAAAUGUAAUGCUCUCUCUUUCUUUACAGAAGAGCUGCCCCGCUUUGGUCAUGGAUUCCACUUACCUGGGACUAACCCCACUUUGAUCGUGGAUCCCACUUAUUGGGACUAACCGGUGCACCACCCCUGACUGCUGAUAGUUCUGGUUCCCGGGUUUCGGCACCACUUGUCGUGACCCCUUGCCCGCAAGGAAGACGCAACUCAGGAAUCUUCUUUCAGCAGUUUAUUCAGGCCUUUUAUAUUUCUUCUUCCCUCUCUCGGAUGCCCCUCCCAGCCUUAAUAAAGCAUCUCAAGCCCCAAUGCGAAGCUGCCACAUGGAGCUUUCUCAUAGGGUGGUGAAAAACCAUGCACCAACUCUCCCAAAUAAGGAGUUGUUUGUCACAGACCACAGCGGAGCCAGCGCCAUCUUGUAAUGGCGACCAUAGUCUGCAGAAA
rnacentral:lncRNA from 1 species